CGGUAUUCGACUUGUGUGGACUUCCUGGAAACAUGGACCUACCGGGAUCCACAGAAGCUGUAGAGUGCGUCAGCCUCCAGGCCCAGGGUGUUGUCGUGGGUCAGGGGGUCCAGGCCGUGGCCGGAUGGCUCUUUGCCCCGCCGCGAGGUCCCGGGCUGGGCCGUGGUGGAGCGGAGAGGAGGCUGGGGCUGCCAGACUCCCACGUCGGUGCCGUUGCCGAAGGCCUGGAUGGCGUUCCCUGAACAACAUAAGAGAGAUCAAGAGUCCGGAUCAGUUCACCAUCAGGGGAGGUGUGUGUCACGCUGACGGUAAGAGCAGGGGGGGUGUUUGAAAGAUGUCUGGAGGAGCAGAGAGUUUGAGAUGAAAAGGUUUCAAAGUGGACAACGAAAAGCCUCAGAUGGACACAUGGAGACUCAGACGCCAGAGGAGAAUGGGCUUGACCUUUCCCGUCAUCUGUCGUUAAUGAACCUGAAUUCCCUAGCUUUAAGACCAUUGAAAAGUGUCUAAUCCAACCUUACUGACUGCCAAGGAUAAAGGAAUCCCUUGCUUUUUUUCCAACUGUGAUGGGACUCAUUUCUUUUCAAAAUUAAUUUGAUAAAUAUUAGGACCAGUCAUCUCUUUGGUGUGGCGAUGUGGCGGAGAGAUGGUGAAAUUGUGACCUUUUUUGCGAGGAUUAGGAGUGUAAAAAGGACCAUUUAUAAACAAAUGCAUUCCCCAGAAAACGUCUGCUCUCCGGCUUUGUUUGCCAGAUCGACAGAAUAUUCAGAUUUGAAAGCCAAGGUUUAAAGUAGAAAUACAUUUUAUGUUUGCACUCUGUGCCACUCUGGUCCCUCACUGUCCGUGCAUGAGCAUGUAGCAACAGUAAAUCGGUAGGUCCUACCAUAAAGCAGAAAUUGCUCAAUUAGUGAUUUGUGUGAUCAGGGAAGCAAAUGUAAUUCUUCCACUUGCUCCGGUCUACUGCAAAGACAUCAAAUACAUCACAUUAGCGACGGAUGGCUGAGGCUGAUCAAUAGUAAACAAACACAAGAAGCCAUUUUAUCAAGAGUAAAUGAUUACGGCAUAGCACUGUGUUUAAUCUAAAAGAGUGUACCAAUAAGGUACGUGCUUUAAGGACAGCAAUUUCUUUGUAUACACAAAUAUUGUGUAUGUUCUCUUCUCCAAUAUGUAUGGUUCAAUUUAGGUGUAAACCCUGAAAGUAGCAAUGAAUCGCAUACUGACCUAAUCAAAGUUAUUCUGUCCGGAAGACAUGUUUAGUAUUCAAGCUUAAUGCAACAAACAGCAGAAAUGUAACAGAGACGUAGGCGGACUCCGAACCUAUAGAAGUAAUCCUGGCCUGAAGACAACUGCAGUUGUCAUACUGAAUACGGUAAACAACAAUCACGUCUGUGAGUAAACCGUCUUGUCCCUUUACCCAGUUGUGAUUUUGUUGUGAGUCUUUUCACAGAGGAAUAGGCGUCUUUGUAGGAGGAAUGUUCUACGAAGAAGCCUCGGAAGUAUGGGUCUGCUGGUUCUAUAUACCAGGGCAACGGGUAGUUGACUCAACCAGUGAAGGCAAGUCUUCUACCAGUGCACCGCUAGUAGACUCAACUAGUGAAG